rnacentral:lncRNA from 1 species
AGUGAUAUAUUAAUCCCAGGGUAAAUUUAAUUUUUAGUCACGAGAAAAAUAUGAUGGUCGUAAUUGCAGAAUCGUCUACAAUGGGUGGACUAUACAUAACGGACAUCAGGGUCAAGAAAAUUGUAUUCUAGUAAGAGCGAUUCAAUCGAGAACUAAACUGGAUUAGCACUUCCAGAUUCCCCUCCUCCACAUUUAUUAUACUGUUAGUUUAAAGGAAAAGGCCAACAUUUAACUGGGCCUAUAUGUCCGAGGAGGCAUCCUAAACCGCUUCUCUAUUCUCUAAAUACCCACAUAUUGAAAUCUUGAUAGUAAAAACUGCAACACCAUUUUGUCGCAGGUGUGCCACGAUUGUAUGAUAUGUGUCUGGUAAAUGUGGCGACGACGCUAUUGAAAGCCCCGCCUUUCAAAUUAGGGAUGAACGUCCUGGAGGUGCCUACAACUGUACACAAGGAAAUAAUACAGGAAUUCUUGCGGUGAAAGAUCCUUACAAUACCUUUAUUUUAUAAAUUAUAUUCUUAUAUGAGGUGCAGUGGAUUCCAUUCGUUUAGCUACGAAGGAGCGUUGAAAUCAGAAGUCAUAGGUAAAUCUUGAUGGUAAAACUGCAAAACCAUUUUGUCGCAGGUGUGCCACGAUUGUACACUUUGUGUGUUGCAAAUGUGGCGACGACGCUGUUGAAAGCCCCGCCUUUCAAAUUAGAGAUAAACGUCCUGGAGGUCCCGAAAAUGGUAUACAACGACAUUAUUCAAGAAUUCUUGCUGUGUGCCACGAUUGUACAAUUUGUGUGUUGCAAAUGUGGCGACGACGCUGUUGAAAGCCCCGCCUUUCAAAUUAGAGAUAAACGUCCUGGAGGUCCCGAAAAUGGUAUACAACGACAUUAUUCAAGAAUUCUUGCUAGUUCUAUACGUUUAUGAGGACACAUGGAAAGUGCUAUUUGAUUUGUAACCAUGCCUAAUAGUUCGUUGAUUGAAAUGCAACAGUUACUGAAACCGAAUGAGUAUGAUUAACUGCAGCAAGCAACUAUUGCCGCUUAAAAACCGCUCACGUUGCGUGAUAAGUUCUCGAAGGCAAAACAAUCAGAAAUAGGGAGGUGCCAAGCAAUGUAAUUAACUCCUCCUAAAACCAUAUGAAUGUGAUCAAUGCGAUGGAAGCAAAAAUUGUCCAUCCCAAUUCACUGGCGUUACCAAAUCAAAUUUCAGUAAGUUGAUGAGAUGUUCAGUGUUGGACCUUUCAGUCAAAUAAGUGAGGUUCGAUCUAAAACCAGUAAUUUUUUCAUAUACGGCUAAAACUCUCGUAUACAAAAGCAGUUUUUCCAAACCGAGCACGCAUAUAGAUUGGCUCACGCUCAAAAAAAAAAAAAUCAUCAAGUGAACAAUAAAUCGGCAGUGCCUAGAAAUAUUGUAAGAUAACGCUUUCUUUUGUGAAAAUGAACAAAGAAAAAUACUGUAAAAAUACUAAAAUUAUAUGUCUAGAGUUUUUAGGGGCGGAGGGAGAAGGCGCUGCUUAAGUGUUGGUAUUGUGUAUGAUAACUAAUUUUCUAUUGAAGACA